AAGAAAGUGGAGGAUCUCAUCAAACUGCCUGUAUUCUCUUUGCCUCAAGAUGUCUCUGUUACACUUACUGAGUGGAAGGGGGCAUGUGAACCUUUUGGAGAGCUUGUGGAAGCUUGGGUUCUGAUUGAAGGAAUCCCUCCUAAGUGGUGCACAUGGAAAGUUUUUGCUCAGAUUGCUUCUCUGUUUGGGGUACUGACUGAUGUAGACUGGAAUGGCAUGUUCAGGACCUUUUUUGAGAAUGUUAGAAUUAAAAUUGCUUGCAGAGGCCCCACAAAAAUCCCAUUUGAAAGGCUUAUUGAGAUGAAGAAGAAGUUGUUUUUACUGGGCUUUACUGUGGAGGGCUUUGAACAAGUUUGUGGGGUUGACUCUAUUAUUGAUAUUGACGAUGAUGAGGAGUUUGAAGGAGAAGGUGCUGCUGAGGGACAGGAGGAUGAGGGUGGAAAUGUUCAGAAGGAUGGUUUCGAAUACUUACUUGAUAGUGAGGGGGCAAUUGAUGAGUUAGAUAAGGCUAAUAUUACUAGUCAGAGUAAGAAUAAACAAAAAGGGCCCCAAGCUGGCAUGUUCUGCUCUGAUUCUGAGCAUGAAACAUUUAUCUUGGAGUGUGUUACUGCUGAUAAAGAAGAACAUCUGGUAACUGAAAAAAUAACUGACCUUAAGGAUUUCUGUCCUUCUGCUUUGAUGGAGUCCACUCCUUCCAAACCAUUUGUGAAGAUUGUUGAGGAAACCAAUUGUUGUGGAGGGAAGCUUGAAAGCAUGGAGUAUUGCGAGAGUAUCCUUAAAUCUGUUGACCUUCCGAGUCUGAGGAAGAGGAUUCCAAAGAUGAUGAACUUGAAACUCUUCCUCCUGAAGUUGUACAUGCCAUUCAGAACAUCUCUCUGA
rnacentral:rRNA from 1 species